rnacentral:rRNA from 1 species
UACGUAGGGGCGAGCGUUGUCCGGAAUGAUUGGGCGUAAAGGGCGCGUAGGCGGCUGUGUAAGUCAGUAGUGGAAGUCCAGCUUUUAAGGUUGGAAGUGCUAUUGAAACUGUGCAGCUUGAGUGCAGGAGAGGUUAUCGGAAUUCCCGGUGUAGCGGUGGAAUCCGUAGAGAUCGGGAGGAACACCAGUGGCGAAGGCGGGUAACUGGACUGCAACUGACGCUGAGGCGCGAAAGUGUGGGGAGCAAACAGGAUUAGAUACCCGCGUAGUCCCU